rnacentral:lncRNA from 1 species
UUACAGUCAUACCAGUGUUUCCCAGAGCAGCUGCUACAAGAAGCUUGCUUAAUACCUGCUGCCUGUAAAAAGAAUUAAGCAGUAAGUGAGGGCUUGCCACAGGAUCUGUGUCCAGGUUUACUGAGCAAGCCUGGGGAAGCAAGAGCACAGACAUUUUGCUUACUCCAAGAACAUAUAUGACCCUUGGUUGCAGUUGGGUAUGUUUGUCAAGGUUACACUGUCUGGUCUCCUGAUGCUACUGAUGCUUCAUUGAAGAAUAAGAGAUUUCUACAUUCUUGAACAUCCAGAAAAUCCUUCCAGAAACAGAACAGAAAAAUUCCAGAACAUCCAGAAAAUAAUUCUCAUCAGGAAUUAUUGUUUUACAGUAUCAGGAUGCCCAUACAUCAAAUGCCUAUGUGCAAUACAAAUGAGAAGAUGCUAGUCAUUUUGGGAAUAAAUAAAUAGCAAAAAAAAAAAAUGAUGUGUAU